UGACUGAGAAAUAGUCCUACAUCAGCAGAAGGUAGAUGAGCUGAGCUCAGAACUCCAGGUACUGAGAGGUUAACCAUAUCUCCAGUUUCAAAGGGAACAUGUGACCUACACCUGACCAAUAGAGACAUCAUAUUACCAGAGACAUAAAGAUUGAUUGAGCCACUCAGACCAAAUUUUCAGUUAAAUGAAGCCACUCACACCCAAUUCUGAGGUGCCUGCAUGAAGAAAAGAGUUGCAUCUCUUGUUAGUGGAAUUGAGCCUGGUGGAAUAAGAACUUAGAGAAUAAGGUCAACACAGAGACAACAAGACAUGGAGACAUAUUAAAUCCUUGUGACACAGCUUAUAAACCUGGAUUAAGCCAUGCCUGAAGGUUAUCUGCAGAUAUUUCAGUUGUGAAAGAUAACUUUUUAAUUACUUGUUUUAAAUGAGUUUUAAUUGUGUUUCCUGCCACUUCUCAUCAAGUAAGUCCAAGAGGAAACCCCGAAAAUGCUUUCAGG
rnacentral:lncRNA from 12 species